rnacentral:rRNA from 1 species
AUACAUGCAGUCGAGCGAACAGAAGGGAGCUUGCUCCCGGAUGUUAGCGGCGGACGGGUGAGUAACACGUGGGUAACCUGCCUGUAAGACUGGGAUAACUCCGGGAAACCGGAGCUAAUACCGGAUAGUUCCUUGAACCGCAUGGUUCAAGGAUGAAAGACGGUUUCGGCUGUCACUUACAGAUGGACCCGCGGCGCAUUAGCUAGUUGGUGGGGUAAUGGCUCACCAAGGCGACGAUGCGUAGCCGACCUGAGAGGGUGAUCGGCCACACUGGGACUGAGACACGGCCCAGACUCCUACGGGAGGCAGCAGUAGGGAAUCUUCCGCAAUGGACGAAAGUCUGACGGAGCAACGCCGCGUGAGUGAUGAAGGUUUUCGGAUCGUAAAGCUCUGUUGUUAGGGAAGAACAAGUGCGAGAGUAACUGCUCGCACCUUGACGGUACCUAACCAGAAAGCCACGGCUAACUACGUGCCAGCAGCCGCGGUAAUACGUAGGUGGCAAGCGUUGUCCGGAAUUAUUGGGCGUAAAGGGCUCGCAGGCGGUUUCUUAAGUCUGAUGUGAAAGCCCCCGGCUCAACCGGGGAGGGUCAUUGGAAACUGGGAAACUUGAGUGCAGAAGAGGAGAGUGGAAUUCCACGUGUAGCGGUGAAAUGCGUAGAGAUGUGGAGGAACACCAGUGGCGAAGGCGACUCUCUGGUCUGUAACUGACGCUGAGGAGCGAAAGCG